rnacentral:lncRNA from 1 species
CUUACAGAUGAGCACUGUGUGGCCCUUUCAGUCAGAUCACAGUGUGGUGCGACAAGAAGGCCUGUCACGUGUCACUCCAGCAAAAGAAUACCUGAACAUAUACAGAGGAUGCUUCACUGGACACUGUGGCAAGAAUAUAAGAAGGAAAAUAUGUCUGCUUGAAAAGCAGAGGACAUUGAAAUAGAGAAGUAGUCUGGUGAAGAACAUCGCAUUAAUAUCUCUCCCUGCACCAGUCCAAGACAUCAACCUUUGCUAAAGGGUCAGAUGUCCCCAGCCAUUCCAGAGACAGCAGGGAAGCUCAAUCUCAUCCCAGAGCUGAAAGCUGAAAGGCUGGGGAUAGAGAGGCAGAACAGAAGUCUCAAGAAGGGGAAAUGGAAGAUGCCUAAGAGAUAUUUUCUGAGAAGAACCUGCAUUUCUACAGAUGGCAUGGAAAAAAAAAGGAAGGCUGCAGAAGACACCAUUAUUCCUGAGAGCCUCUCAGUUCAUUAGUUGAAGCAGCCAAGUCUUCAGGAGCCACAACUGAUCAGCAAAUGGGAAAUGAGCAAGAGUAUAAAUUCCAG